rnacentral:rRNA from 1 species
UACAGAGGUGGCAAGCGUUGUUCGGAAUUACUGGGCGUAAAGGGCGCGUAGGCGGUCUUGUAAGUUCUGUGUGAAAUCCCUCGGCUCAACUGAGGAACUGCACGGAAAACUGCGAGGCUUGAGUUCGGGAGAGGGAAGCGGAAUUCCGGGUGUAGUGGUGAAAUGCGUAGAUAUCCGCAAGAACACCAGUGGCGAAGGCGGCUCACUGGCCCGGUACUGACGCUGAGGUGCGAAAGCGUGGGGAGCAAACAGG